UCUCUUCAUUCCACCUUAGUUUAAGGAAAUCCCUCAGACUUGUAUAUGAUAACGAACACACUACAUCUCAUCAGAAUCCUAUCAAAUUGAAAAGAGAAUUGAGGAAGCUCCAACUUUGAAUCUAUUUCCGUCAGUCAUCUUCGACGGCCAGAAGCUGCAUGUUAGGUUCUUUAUCACAGUAUGAUGUCUUCAUGAAAGUUUCUCGGAUUAGUGUCUGCUAUCUUGUGCUAAAAUUUGACGACGAUCCAACGGUUAGAUUGUCCUCAACAGAGUUUCUCCAUGUCUUGGGUUAUCAUUCGAGUUCCUUUCUUGGAGUCUUCCUCUACCUAUGAGCCUACAAUCCGAAGAGUGACAAUCGGAAUUUGGAUAAGUGUUAUGGGCUGCUAUCAAUGGAGGACCAGGUUGUUAUCAAUGAUGAAGGACUAGUAUUGGAGCAUUAUGUACGUUGCUAUCUUGCUAUUGCUAAAUGAUUUGAGUUGGUCUUGCAGGUACUGUGCACGAGAGGAGGACUUCGAGACCGAGCUGGGUGCUACGUUCAUAAUUAUUUGCCUUGGUAUAUUUGGCUUGACUUGUGUUUACUUUUAAAUAUUUGUUAUUGUUGAAUUGUGACAUUUGUUAACUUGUAAAUGUGGAUCUGAAUAUUUCCUUGGCUUCUUCAUUCCAUUUCUAAACGUUUGAAACCAACUUACAACUUCUUAAUUAUUGUGGUAGCUUGCUGGUUCUGUUUGGUAUCUCUUUAUUUGUUUUGUUUGGAAAACACUUUUGGAGUUGCUAUAGUUAUAACAUCAUCUAGCAAACAACGAUGAAGUGUUCAACGUUUUCACCUCAUUUUAAACUCUACGUUUUUCGUCAACUUUUACUAUUUCUAAAGUUCCAUUUUUAGUAAAAAGUUGCCUUGCAUCUCUUUAGGACAUGAGUUAAGCUUCUUAGCUUGUGUUUCUAAAGGUUUGCAGCACUGUAACGUACUUGAUUUGGAGAGGUGCUUAUUGGGGCGUUACACGUUAUCAGCACGAUAGUCUUUACUGUUCUCAUAAACUCAAUGAUGAUCAAAGAGUACUUUAUGGUCUUGAUUGAUGCUUCUACAAGAUGGUCACAUGUUUGUCUCUUGUCAACAUGUAAUAUGGCAUUCGCUAAGCUUCUUGUUCAGAUAAUUAAAUUACGAGCACAAUUCCCAAAUUAUUCUAUUAAAUCAAUUCAAUUAGAUAAUGCUGGUGAAUUUACAUCUUAAGCGUUUGAUGAUUAUUGCAUGUCUUUGGGAAUUGAGGUUGCGCAUCCAGUCCCUCAUGUUCAUACCCAAAAUGGCUUGGCAGAAGCUCUUAUUAAGCGCUUGCAGAUAAUUGCACGCACCUCACUCAUAAGGAUCGUCAAAGUUGCUGACUUCUGUAUGGGGACAUGCCAUUUUGCAUGCGGCAUCAUUAAUCCGGUUGAGCUGCAUAGUACUACCACUGCUAUUCUAUCCCCACUGUGUGCAAUUGGACCUCUUGUUCUUCAUUAACUUCUGCAACCUGUUGCAUCUCAACAAGUUCAGCUUGUGAGUUGGAGGGUGAAUAGAUUUUGUUAAUGUGAGUUGGAGGGUGAAUAGAUUUUGUUGACACCAAUUUAGGCAUACAAAACUGAUUUGCAGAUUAUGGAAGGUAUGUCGUCCUUCACACCCUCGCCCUCGCCUUCUCCAAGCAUUGGAACCAGUCGAACCACCCCUUCACUGAGUCCUCCAUCUCCACUGGAACAUAGAACUGUCAUUUUCUAUUUCUUU